AUUGAACGCUGGCGGCAUGCCUUACACAUGCAAGUCGAACGGUAACAGGUCUUCGGAUGCUGACGAGUGGCGAACGGGUGAGUAAUACAUCGGAACGUGCCUAGUAGUGGGGGAUAACUACUCGAAAGAGUGGUUAAUACCGCAUGAGAUCUACGGAUGAAAGCAGGGGAUCGCAAGACCUUGUGCUACUAGAGCGGCCGAUGGCAGAUUAGGUAGUUGGUGGGAUAAAAGCUUACCAAGCCGACGAUCUGUAGCUGGUCUGAGAGGACGAUCAGCCACACUGGGACUGAGACACGGCCCAGACUCCUACGGGAGGCAGCAGUGGGGAAUUUUGGACAAUGGGCGCAAGCCUGAUCCAGCAAUGCCGCGUGCAGGAUGAAGGCCUUCGGGUUGUAAACUGCUUUUGUACGGAACGAAAAGCCCUGGGUUAAUAUCCUGGGGUCAUGACGGUACCGUAAGAAUGAGCACCGGCUAACUACGUGCCAGCAGCCGCCGUAA
rnacentral:rRNA from 1 species